rnacentral:rRNA from 1 species
UACGGAAGGCAGCAGUGGGGAAUAUUGCACAAUGGGCGAAAGCCUGAUGCAGCUAUGCCGCGUGUAUGAAGAAGGCCUUAGGGUUGUAAAGUACUUUCAGCAGGGAGGAAAGAAAUAAAACUAAUAAUUUUAUUUUGUGACGUUACCUGAAGAAGAAGCACCGGCUAACUCCGUGCCAGCAGCCGCGGUAAUACGGAGGGUGCAAGCGUUAAUCAGAAUUACUGGGCGUAAAGGGCACGCAGGCGGUUAAUUAAGUUGGAUGUGAAAUCCCCGGGCUUAACCUGGGAAUGGCAUUCAAGACUGGUUAGCUAGAGUCUUGUAGAGGGGGUAGAAUUCCAUGUGUAGCGGUGAAAUGCGUAGAGAUGUGGAGGAAUACCGGGUGGCGAAGGGCGGGCCCCUGGGACAAAGGACUGACGCUCAUGUGCGAAAGCGUGGGGAGCAAACAGGGAUUAGAUACCCGU